ensembl:lncRNA
UGGUUUUUCCAUUGUUCAUUAACCAAAGGCUUCGGUUUUGUGGGUGUUGAAAAGUUAGUUAUGGCCCGGUCAGAAGGAACAUGGCAUUAAGGUGAUUUUGUAUCUGUGUGAAGGUCAAAUGCUAGGAUUACUAUUUUUUUUAAAUGGAAUAUUGGCUCUCCAAAGAUAAAUCAGCUUGCACUGGUGUUUUCAGGCAGAGAAGGCCCUGGAUAAGGCUUUUGAAGGCAAUUCUGGGGGCACGAGUGUGGCUUGAAGGCACCCUAAAAUCUUCUGGGUAAAAUGGAGAAGAAGCAGGUGGUCAGAGACCUUCUCCAGAUAGCCUGCAUGUGGGCAGCAUGACUCCAGGACGUGAGCUCACAGAGCAAAUAGCUCCCACACCUGAUGGGUACAGCCGGAGCACCCCCAUGGAACAAGCAUCAGAGAGUCGUCUCCUUGGGGCAGGGGGCUGCGUUAGGUCGGGAUAAGGUCCUUAACGCUGAACAAGCCCCAGCAGGAAGGACACAACCUUCCUUCAGGACUCAAGGAUACCCUAAUUUGCCGAGAGAGGGAGGUGAGGAGCGAGGGGGAGAUGCUCGCUGUUGAGCGGGACGCGCUCCGGGAUGCGGGGGCCGGGUCGCAAUGGGGCCGCUGGGGGGAGCGCCAGGCCCGGGAGAGAGCUGAAAUCCGGAAUCGUGGGUUUUCACCUGAAAUCCUGCAGCUGGGGAAGGUCUGCGCCGCGGAACAGGGGUGAUUGCAACGCUUGGCAAACACUUCUGGUGGGAUGCACAUUAGCGCGCGGUUUUGUCUGGCGGAAGCGCUUUGAACAUGUGAGUGGUUUACUGGCUGUAAGCCUUCUCCUUGGUCCCAGCGAAGUAUUCCAGCCGUGGAACAUCUGUAUUUCCCCACUGGUUUUUCCUUGAAUGCCUCUGCACAUCCUCAAGCCUGGAUCUGGGCUAAAGCAGAGCCUGUAAGACCCUUCUGAUGGAGCUCCACAGGAUUUGGAAGCAGUCCCUCACCUGUUAAUGAGCCAGCAAGGGAUUCAUCACUGGAUCCCUCUGAGGAAUGCUGCAUGAGAAGAAGAUCCAUGCCUGUCCCUGCAGAUGUUGCAUCUCUCCACUGUUAGCUGGGGAUGCCACUUUCCCUUGUUGUGCUUGCAAAGUGUACAAAAACCCUGACCUGCUUCAGCACCCUCGCACUAUCACUGCGUGCAGCACCGCUCGCCGUUAUUAGUACGGCAAACGGGACACUAUUGAUUCAGAGGAUUUGUGGUUUACCAGCAGAGUUUCCCUGUUAGCCUUCACACCAAUGCCUGACUCAUGAAUACACAUGAAGGCCCAAAUAGUUCGUUUACAGUUUAAAGAGCCGGGGGUGUGAGCGUGUGAGAGUUAUUCAUUUCUGUUGGUCCCACUGCUCCCACGGGGCCACAUCCAGCACCCACAGGGCUCUUCAGUGCUACCUGGAUCAUGGCCACCAGGCCUUUGUUUUUGGAGGUCUCCAUCCGCCUUUGGAGACCAGGCCUUGCACGCUCUCCUUUAUCUCAGCACAUGGUAGGAGGGUGACAGGCUUCCUGGCUCUUGGCAGGUCGUCUAUUAAAUAUAGAUGGUGCUUUCACAUGCAAUUGUCUGCUUGAUUUUUUUGGAGGACAAGCUGCAGCAUGUCAUGCAGAUAUGAUUAAAAACGUUAAGGCUUCAAGAUAUUUCCCCUUUGCUUCAAUGAAUGAAGGACUAUCCUUCUAAUAGCCCCAGUUAAAUACUACCCUGAUGUAAUAUGGUUAUUACGAGUUCCUUGGAAAAAUUCCCCAUCAUUGCAGGAAUGGCCAUGGGUCUUCCCUUUGAUUUGCCUUUUUUUGUGGCUGGAAUUGCUGGUUGGACUGGGAAGAACAGCACAAGAACAGCAGGGAAGGAGAGGCUUUCCCUGUGA